CCAGAGGCGGAGCUAGAGGGGGGGCCGGGGGGGCCAGUGCCCCCCCAGCCAUCUGAUUGGCCCCCCCAGCGGCCCCCCCAAAUGAUCGACAUGUCACGACACCCAGUCAUUCCUUCACAGUAGGUAGCACUAUGUACCACAAUGGGUUGUGACACUUGUGACUGUUGUGACUGCUCAAAAGCAGCAGGGGGCGAUAUGCACCAUUUACGUUUAUUGUGAUACACCAUUUGGACACAACAGAGUUGACCCAACAGAAGAAGAGAAGGAGAACCGCGAAGAGACGAUAGAGAAAUAUUGUACAGCUAAGAGGAAUACAGUCGAUUUGACUCCAAGACGGAUAAUCUGAUUUCAAAGUUCCAUCAAAGGAGGAGUCUGAAAACACAGAAAGCUCUGCGCCUGACCAGGAUGAUGAUGAGCCAGAAGGGGCAAUUGCAGGAGAUACCACUGAUCUCUUCUCAGCAGUGUCCAGCACUCCUUUUGCUUUUCCUGAUGCCAGGCUAAGUCACAUUGGAACACUUAGCAUAGAGUCAAGGAGGGCACGGGGCCUCAACAUGGAUGACUUUGUAACAUAUUUUGCUUCAUCUCACAACAACCGAAGGAUUUUACUUUUAUGAGUGCAUGAAGAAGUCUUGUGUUUCUCGUCAUGAUUUGGGUCUUCACCGACUGGUACUUGUACCAAUGAUAGUUUAGGAGUCAGUACAUUUGGUCAUAGCUGCAUUAAGUUCGAAAAUAAAAUGCACAUGUAGCAUCUAUUAAAUAACAGUUUCCAUAACAUACAACCUUCUUUUUUGAGAUAUUGUAAUUGUGAACUGUGUGACACUGCAUUCUCAUUGUAAGUCUUGUCUUGUUACAAUGGUGUCAUUUAGAGGUUAAUGUCCACUUAUGCUUUGUGUGGCAUGCAUUGAUAAUAAACUGCAAAUUACAUGAGCAAA